GUGAUUAGUUAAGGCUUAUCCGUUAAGCGGUGCGUUCCUCUGCAAAGAAAAAGCGUGGGAGCUUGGAAAGAGACACGAGGCUGUUUUGGAGAAGUUGGAAGUACUGGACUGAUGAUGAACAUUUUGAGUUCAUUCAACUUGCAGAAGACAUUGGUGCAGUCUCAAUAUGGGAGUUUAACAAUUUACAAUGGAUCAGCCAAUCAGAAUGAUGAAGUUGAAACCGCAAGUGUGAUGCUCUUUGUCUCGCGCGAGUAUUCCCGUAGAACUCCCAGUUCAUUACCGAACUAACUGCCUUCUUGUUUUUUAUUGCUUAUUUUUUUAUUGCUUAUUACUUAUUUUGUCUUGUGUUUCUCUCCUAUUUGCAUUGCAAGGUUUAAAUGUUUUAAGUCUUAUUUUCAGGGAUUUUGCUAUUUUCUCUAUUUACUCACCUCUAAGACACUAUGCACAUAUAUAAAUACAUCCUUGUUGUAAGAAAAUAAGAAUAUAUUUCUAUUUUUUAAAUAAUAUAUUUGUAUUUAUAUCACGCUAGCAACAAAGAAAAAAAAACGAACAAUUAAAAACUAUGACUCGAAAUCAUGGCUAAAUAUAUGAAACAAAA